rnacentral:rRNA from 1 species
GUCCAGACUCCUACGGGAGGCAGCAAUGGGGAAUAUUGCACAAUGGGGGAAACCCUGAUGCAGCGACGCCGCGUGAGUGAAGAAGUAUUUCGGUAUGUAAAGCUCUAUCAGCAGGAACGAGACAAGACGGUACCUGACUAAGAAGCCCCGGCUAACUACGUGCCAGCAGCCGCGGUAAUACGUAGGGGGCAAGCGUUAUCCGGAUUUACUGGGUGUAAAGGGAGCGUAGACGGCAUGGCAAGUCUGAAGUGAAAGCCCGGGGCUCAACCGCGGGACUGCUUUGGAAACUGUUAAGCUGGAGUGCAGGAGAGGUAAGUGGAAUUCCUAGUGUAGCGGUGAAAUGCGUAGAUAUUAGGAGGAACACCAGUGGCGAAGGCGGCUUACUGGACUGUAACUGACGUUGAGGCUCGAAAGCGUGGGGAGCAAACAGGAUUAGAUACCCCAGUACAC